rnacentral:tRNA from 1 species
UCCCUGGUGGUCCAGUGGUUAGGACUUGGCACUUUCGCUGCUGUGGCCUGGGUUGGAUCCCUGCUUGGGUA